AGUGAACGCUGGCGGUAGGCCUAACACAUGCAAGUCGAACGGCAGCACAGUAAGAGCUUGCUCUUACGGGUGGCGAGUGGCGGACGGGUGAGGAAUACAUCGGAAUCUACUUUUUCGUGGGGGAUAACGUAGGGAAACUUACGCUAAUACCGCAUACGACCUACGGGUGAAAGCAGGGGAUCUUCGGACCUUGCGCGAUUGAAUGAGCCGAUGUCGGAUUAGCUAGUUGGCGGGGUAAAGGCCCACCAAGGCGACGAUCCGUAGCUGGUCUGAGAGGAUGAUCAGCCAAACUGGAACUGAGAAACGGUCAGGACUCCUACGGGAGGCAGAAGUGGGGAAUAUUGGAAAAUGGGCGAAAGCCUGAUCCAGACAUACCGCGUGGGUGAAGAAGGCCUUCGGGUUGUAAAGCCCUUUUGUUGGGAAAGAAAAGCGGGAGGUUAAUAACCCGAUGUUCUGACGGUACCCAAAGAAAAAGCACCGGCUAACUUCGUG
rnacentral:rRNA from 1 species